CUAAGGUAAACCAAGGGAAGGACAAGGAAAAGGCUUUUCAGAUUUGGGCCCAAGUUGAACAGCUCUAAUACUAAAUACUAUUACUAAAUACUAAAUACUAUUAAAAGCGCAUAGCAAACUUCUGAACUAUGUGUAUCUCUGACUGGAUUGUAUCUAAAAUGGGGUAUAAAUAGAAUAUCCUAGGAAAACUAUAUUUACCUGGAGCCAGUGAACAAUCAUUUGUUUUCUAUGAUUGAAGGAAAGUAUAAUUUGGUCAAUUUUCUUGAGAGGGCUGAAAUAUAGUCACUCAGCCAUUUGUCCUACAGCCAGUCUUUACAUUCUGAGUCAAUUAAAGGAACGGCAUUAACUCAUUAAAAGUCAGGAAGCUGAAAAGCAAACACAAAAGAGAUCGGCCUGCUGUCCCUUUAACAAAGCUCCUCUGUUUUACAGCAGAAAGCAAGAGGAAAGCACUGCACCUGAGAUCUACAUUAUUGAAACAGACCCAGCUACUGAAGACAAGCGACCUAAGAGAAUUUUAGUUUUCAUUUAAAUAAAAAGUCAUGUCCUACCCCUCCUGAUGGUGAAGAAAAGCCUGGAAAUAUGACCUGCCAUCAGGCUCAGGACCCAGAAGUUAAAGCAUUUCUGUGCUACCAGUGCAGAAUUUCUACGCAUAUCACACUGGAGCUGUAUCAAGCAUCCAUGCCAUCUGUCGGUUGAGUUGUGACUCAUCAGCCCACGUAUCCAAUGAGGCUCUGUUUUCAGUGGAAGGCUAAUAUUCUGGAAUGCAGAAGUAACUGACUAAUUGGGCCCAAUAGUAAAUUUCAUGCUUCAUUCAAGUAUUUUUAUAGAAAAAAAAUAGCAUUUGUCGGUUUUCUUUUUUCCCCCUUCUCCUGUCUUUUUUUAAUUGGUUUUCAUUCAUCAAGUAUUUCCUUGCAAAGAAAAUGGUGACUGGAUAAGAAGUCAAUGCAGAAUUGUUUGCAAAUGAACUUAAUGGAGAACAGAAUUACACAAAGACCGAAUGUGCAGCCUUACUAUGUAUUAAAACGUGAUUUGUUUGUUUGUUUGUUUGUUUUCAAACUAUUAACCAAAGGAAUUUGUCCAAUUUAGUUUUCAGCUUGGUCCAUAAAUUAAUAAGCAUUCUGACUAAAAAGCAUAAUUAAACCAAGAGAAAAUGCAAAUCAGAUGAUGCAAUGUGCUGUGACUGGAAUACCAUUUUGCAACCGAAUGGCAUACACAGGCAACACAAAUUAUUAAUGCAUGGUUUAAUUCUCUGGACUACCAAAAGAAAUAUGAAGACUUUGCUGUUAUGUUUGCAAUAAGUGUCUGCUAGGAAAGUCAGUGCAAAUAGCAGCAUGCUCUGCAGCAUAAGAAUUGCUCCUUACAGUGUUUUUUCUUAUAUGGAGAAUCGAAGAAACCAUUCUACUGCACUCUGCUUUUGAGAGUUAGAUAUUAAACCUGCCUCCUCUAUACUGGACUUCUCAGCUUGAACUCACACCAGUCUUCUAGCUCGUUAUACAGAAUAAUCAACAGGAAGCAGUUUUAUCCAAAUGGUACAUUCUUAAUGUUACAGCCAUUCCUGGUGAGCAUGUGCCUUAAAAAUGAUUAGUCCUGCCUUUGUGAUUGUGUUUGUGCACCAGUAUUAUCUACUGCAAAACCACAAAACAGAUCAUAUUGUUCUGUGUAUUUCUAAUGGGGGUGACACUGGCAAAUGGGUGAUUACUAUUUUUUUCAUGUGGUGGACUCUGUUGAAAUGUUACUGAAAGCUGUUUGAAAAUGUAACCUAUUUGUUAGUCGUAUUUCAACAAACUCUAACUUACUUUCAUCGUACAAUGCCUCUAUAUGUGAAUUACAAUACUGGUCAUAUGACCAUAUGGUGCAGAAGUAGUCUGACUGCACUCCCAGGAAAGUCAAUGGGAGAUUUGCCACUGAGCUCAAGGGAAGCAGGACUGGGUACUGUAUGGUAGUCUUGUGACCUCUGAAAUAAAAGUGAAAGCACGAAGACUAUUGUCAGAAUCACUUGUGGAUACCUGGCAGUCUGUUAACUUGACAGAGCAACAUAGAAUCAUAGACCAUUAGAACUGGAAGGCAUCUCAAGAGGUCAAGUCCAGUCC